AUGGCUAUCAGGGCUCCUGCUGAGUUUCUUGGUAUCUUGUUGCUCUUGUUUCCAGGUGCCAGAUAUGACAUCCAGAUGACCCAGUCUCCAUCCUCCUUAUAUGCCUCUCUGGGAGAAAGAGUCAGUCUCACUUGCCGGGCGAGUCAGGACAUUAGGGGUUACUUAAACUGGUUUCAGCAGAAACCAGAUGGAACUAUUAAACGCCUGAUCUACAACACAUCCAAUUUAGAUUCUGGUGUCCCAAAAAGGUUCAGUGGCAGUAGGUCUGGGUCAGAUUAUUCUCUCACCAUCAGCAACCUAGAGUCUAAAGAUUUUGCAGACUAUUACUGUCUACAGCUUAAUGAGUUUCCUCUCACAGUGAUACAUAACAUAAACCACAGGAAUGCAGAAGUGAGAGGCUGGACUGCUCCAGCUGCUCCUCCUCAUGAGUCACCCACUGUAACUGAUACUCAGAAGUCACUGGACCUUUAG